rnacentral:misc_RNA from 1 species
GAGAGAGAGAGAGAGAGAUAGAGGAAAUGAAAAUUUUUUAGUUAAGGUAUCUUACCAAUUUGGAAGGGGCAAUCUUUUUUUCCCCGCCAUAGGGUUUUUGUUUUGUUCUUGGGAACCAUUUUGGUAUUGCAAAAUUAGAGAAUCUAUCUUGGAGUGGUGUAGUGGACUUUCAAAACAAAGUGGAAAGGUCUUUAAGUAAUAUCUUCUUUCUACAAUUUGCUUUCUGAAACAACCGGAGUAAUUUAUGUUUAUGUGCCCUAGUGUUGAGCUUGUAGCUGCUUGAAGUAAUUGGGCUGAAAAAUGAUGGCAUGACACUGUUGCAGGCGAUACUGCAGAAAUUAUUAUUAUUAUUAUUAU